CCUACGGGAGGCAGCAGUGGGGAAUAUUGGACAAUGGGCGAAAGCCUGAUCCAGCCAUGCCGCGUGUGUGAAGAAGGUCUUCGGAUUGUAAAGCACUUUAAGUUGGGAGGAAGGGCAGUAAGCGAAUACCUUGCUGUUUUGACGUUACCGACAGAAUAAGCACCGGCUAACUCUGUGCCAGCAGCCGCGGUAAUACAGAGGGUGCAAGCGUUAAUCGGAAUUACUGGGCGUAAAGCGCGCGUAGGUGGUUUGUUAAGUUGAAUGUGAAAUCCCCGGGCUCAACCUGGGGAACUGCAUCCAAAACUGGCAAGCUAGAGUAGGGCAGAGGGUGGUGGAAUUUCCUAGUGUAGCGGUGAAAUGCGUAGAUAUAGGAAGGAACACCAAGUGGCGAAGGCGACCACCUGGGCUCAUACUGACACUGAAGGUGCGAAAGCGUGGGGAAGCAAACAGGAUUUAGAUACCCUGGUAGUCCACGCCGUUAAACGAUGUNACUAGACGUGUAGACUGUAGNUUAGUGNGCANNACGCAUAGUU
rnacentral:rRNA from 1 species